UGGGGAAUAUUGCACAAUGGGCGCAAGCCUGAUGCAGCCAUGCCGCGUGUAUGAAGAAGGCCUUCGGGUUGUAAAGUACUUUCAGCGGGGAGGAAGGCGAUGCGGUUAAUAACCGCGUCGAUUGACGUUACCCGCAGAAGAAGCACCGGCUAACUCCGUGCCAGCAGCCGCGGUAAUACGGAGGGUGCAAGCGUUAAUCGGAAUUACUGGGCGUAAAGCGCACGCAGGCGGUCUGUCAAGUCGGAUGUGAAAUCCCCGGGCUCAACCUGGGAACUGCAUCCGAAACUGGCAGGCUUGAGUCUCGUAGAGGGGGGUAGAAUUCCAGGUGUAGCGGUGAAAUGCGUAGAGAUCUGGAGGAAUACCGGUGGCGAAGGCGGCCCCCUGGACGAAGACUGACGCUCAGGUGUGAAAGCGUGGGGAGCAAACA
rnacentral:rRNA from 1 species